rnacentral:misc_RNA from 1 species
GAGAGUAUCCAAAUCAUUCAAAUUGAAAACAUUUUUAGUUGUCCUGAAUGAAAAUAGAAUAACUUUGAGAUGAAGCUGCACCCCAGAUCCGAGAAAACAAAAAGCUGAAGAGGUGUUACCAACAUCAGUGGUUCAACCCUCAGAAGCUGGUUACAAUCCAUCAGAAGAUGAGAUCAAGCACAUUGAGAUAUGGAGCAAGGCGGCCAUUGGGUGGUACUUCUGGAAUAGCAUAUUCAAUGCCAGACUGCAGGAGAAACCUGGCGAGCCGUGGAGCGUGGGCUCGCGCCGUUUCUACAAGUACACCUUCACAUUCCGGCAUGGUCCCGGCGUGGUGCCCAACACAGUGCCGGCCGAUGUCCGGUACCUGGUGCUCAUACUCAACGGACGCACCGAUGAAAAGGUUCGGGUGGCGCGCCAGUGGCUGGACCUGCUGCCCCGCCUGGUGCUUCUGCAGCACACGGCCGUCGUGCUGCACGGCAGUGAGUUCUGUAACAACACCUGGAUCCGGCCGUACCUGCGCGCCCACGGCGGCCGCGUCGACGCGCUGUUCGUCGUGUACGAUGACCCGGACGUGAAUGGCGAGGACGUCUUCCAGUGGCCGCUCGGUGUUGCCACGUACCGAGGUUUCCCGCAGGGCCCUUACACGAUAGACGUCAAGUCGCCACGGCCGCACCGCUGCAACUUCUUCGGCACCGUGUACGCCAACUCGUCACGGGAGACGCUGCUGAAGAGCCUGCUGUCCGUGCCCGACCACAGCUGCCUGCUCAAGACGCGGCAACAGUGGACAGAGUCUGAGACGCACCAGUCCGCCUCCGAGUACGUGGACGCCCUGCUGCAGUCAGACCUCACCCUCAGUCCGGCCGGCAUCAACCCGGAGUGUUACCGGCAGUACGAGGCGGCGGCGCUCGGCUCCGUGCCGGUGAUGGUCGCGGACGAGCCGCCAGUGGGCCGGUGUAGGCCGGGCCCGGGCCUGCUGCGCCGCCACGGCGCCCCGUUCCUCUGGCUGCGAGACUGGCGUCAUCUGCCAGAGCUGCUGCGGCGAGAGGCGGCGCUGACUGCGCGCCAGCGCGCCGCCCGUCGCCGCCGCCUCCUCGCCUGGUAUGAGGACUUCAAACGGCGAGUUCGAAAUGAGUUCAUCAACGUCAUUGUGCGUAAGUUCUUCCAUGGCGAGGAUGGUAAGGCGUGAUGUGAUCAGAGUCUUAGGGGUUGAAGGGUGUUAUGUGGUUUUUGAAACAAGAGGUGCUUAUAUUGUCUGGAGAAAACGUUACGUGAUAGGAGGGGUGGAAAUAAUGCGUAGCUCAUCGUAGACGGUGCUCAAACUUCUAUAGACUUUAUUAUGUGGCCAGUGAGUGCAUUCUGCUUCGAUGUGGUCUCAUCCAAAUGAAGCCGGUGCAUUGUUUUGUCAUUGUUCCCUGCAAGUUGUUUAUGUGUAAGGAACCGAUUGUGGAUAUUUUCUAUUUGAUCAAUUGUAAUACUAAUGUGAAAUCCACUCAAAAUUACCCUAAUCAUUCUUUGUAUCACCAGACAUACUUUACCAUAAGUAUCGGAACCGUUUAAAUUCGAACUCUUUCACAUUGAUAGUCAAUCUUACCAGUUCAAGCACCGCGCUUGGCUUCUGGGUAACGUUUGCUGAGAUUCGCAUGUGAUACGUCAAAUGACCUGGGUGUUUAGGAUAAACGAGGGUUGUACUGGUGUUGACGUAUGUCGUGCAGUCUGUGCCCUGAUGUGCCCGCACCCAUGUUCUUAAUUGUGAUGAAUAAUUUUAUGGGACAGGGAAAAUAGUCAAGUGUAAGCCCGGUGGGUAACCUUAUUAUGGGUUUCGGUAAUAUUUAGUGAUAACGGGUAGAUAUUGUGUCAGCGACUCAUCAGGCAUUAAGAUAGGCUGCGGUAAUGUACUCAUCACUUACCAUCACCAUAUGUUUUGAAAAUGCUGGUGGAUUUGCGAUCGGCUCAAGUCUUGUGUCCCCAUCAACCCCAUUGAUUCCCUGGAUACCCUCGGGGGAACUGUGAUAAUAUGAGGCCAACGUUUUUACUCCCAGUCAUUUGCUGUGUGACACGCUUAGCCCUAGUGUCAGCGUUGCGUUAGCGUGACACGUAGCUGAACCGUGGGUUUCAUGUUGACUGUGUAAUGUGUGUUCAAUGCAAACAUGUUGCUUUUUCCCAUGGCGCCGGCGACAACUGUUGAGAUGGAUACCUUGUCACGGUUUGUUGGGAUGCCGAUUUGAUAAAGUUUUCGAUACUGUGACUAGUUAUGUGCUUGAACUGGUUUUUGCUCGAAAAUCGUGAAUGCGCUUCAUUUUGUGACGAUGUUUCAAUGGGGGCAAUAUUCUGUAGUGUGGAGACAUUUGAACCAUCGGCUUGGCACUAGUCAAUGUUUUACGCGGGACGUGAACUUACUGCAACAUUCCCCAUUUAGGUGUUGUAAUAUUUACCAUGACAUGUGCCUUUUAUGGUAACUGUGAGUAACGUAUGGUAACGCAGAGGUUCACGUUGGAUUGAGCAUCGCAUGUUUUAGUGACCCGUGGAAAGCCUUUGGUAAAAUACGUAAUACAAAUUACCGAACCAUGUCA